UUAGCGCGCCUGGUUCGGGACCAGGAGGUCGGCGGUUCAAAUCCGCCCACCCCGA
rnacentral:tRNA from 1 species